GGGAGAUGGCUCAGUGGUUAAGAGCAUUGACUACUCUUCCAAAAGACCCAGGUUCAAUUCCCAGCACCCA
rnacentral:tRNA from 1 species